GAUGAACGCUAGCGGGAGGCUUAAUACAUGCAAGUCGAACGGUAACAGGUGCUUCGGCAUGCUGACGAGUGGCGCACGGGUGAGUAACGCGUACACAACCUACCUAUAAGAGGUGAAUACCCUCUGGAAACGGAGAUUAAUACACCAUGUGAUAAUUUGAUAGAUAAUUGGAUUAUUAAAGUUUCGGCGCUUAUAGAUGGGUGUGCGUACUAUUAGCUAGUUGGUAAGGUAACGGCUUACCAAGGCGACGAUAGUUAGGGGGCGUGAGAGCGUGAACCCCCACACGGGUACUGAGACACGGACCCGACUCCUACGGGAGGCAGCAGUAAGGAAUAUUGGACAAUGGAGGGAACUCUGAUCCAGCCAUCCCGCGUGUAGGAAGACUGCCCUAUGGGUUGUAAACUACUUUUAGACAGGAAGAAUAGCAUUAAUUUAUUAGUGUAUGACGGUACUGUCAGAAUAAGCACCGGCUAACUCCG
rnacentral:rRNA from 1 species